rnacentral:rRNA from 1 species
AGAGCUUGCUUUCUCGAGCGAGUGGCGAACGGGUGAGUAACGCGUGAGGAACCUGCCUCAAAGAGGGGGACAACAGUUGGAAACGACUGCUAAUACCGCAUAACACAUAGGUGUCGCAUGGCACUUAUGUCAAAGAUUUAUCGCUGAAAGAUGGCCUCGCGUCUGAUUAGAUAGUUGGUGGGGUAACGGCCUACCAAGUCGACGAUCAGUAGCCGGACUGAGAGGUUGAACGGCCACAUUGGAACUGAGACACGGUCCAAACUCC